UUCAAAUGUGUUCAUUCAGCCAGAAGGGCAUGGUUAAAAGGUCUGGGAUCUGGACUGUGAGCUCCAGAGCAGCUGUGAUCCACUGUAAAAAGGUCUGAUGAGGGUCUAAACUAGUCUGUGUACUGUAUGUUCUGCUCAGGAGCUCCCAGGGGCACAUGGGAAGUUCUGUGUGACGAGUCUUUACAACAGGACGAGAGGAAACAAUAGAGUAACUCAACCCCCUCCUCCCACAUUUCUCAUAGAGCCUCCUGUACAGUCAGAGGGGGAGGUUAGAAGACAGGGAGGGGGGAGGCACAGGUCAGUGUUGGUUCCACCACCUCCACCAGAGGUGCUGUCACACUCACAUCCUCAACUACCUCCAUUUGUGCUGCUGCUUUGUCCAGUGUGGGCUAAAGAAGAUCAAGGAGACAGACACAGAGACGUAAAGAGGACUGGUAGGAGCCUGAACUACUUUCCUGCUGCAAAAGAACAGGACCCACAUGAACGGACGGCCUCAAUCACCUGAAACAGAGCUGUGCUCCUCCAACUCCUCCACUGGUUGUUAAACAGGCUGCUCCUCAAGUACAGUUUCUGUGACUGAGGUUGUUGUGAAGUGUGAACACUCAGUAAACUCUAUACAUUCUCGAA